GACGAACGCUGGCGGCGUGCUUAACACAUGCAAGUCGAACGGAAAGACCCGGCUCUUGUUGGGUGCUCGAUUGGCGAACGGGUGAGUAACACGUGAGUAACCCGUCCCUGUCUUUGGGAUAACUUCUGGAAACUCGGGCGAAUAUCCGAUAGGAGCUCCUGCUGCAUGGUGGUGGUUGGUAAGUUUCGGCGGUGGUGUAUCGACUCGCGGGUUAUCGGCUUGUUUGGGGGGUAGUUGCGUUCCAAGCCUUUGACGGGUAGCCGGCCUGAGAGGGGGAACGGCCCCCAUGGGACUGAGGGACGGACCAGACUCCUACGGGAGGCAGCAGUGGGGAGUAUUGCACAAUGGGCGGAAGCCUGAUGCAGAGACGCCGCGUGCGGGAUGACCGGCUUCGGGUUGUAAACAGCUUUCGCAUGUAACGAAGCCUGAGUGACGGUAAUGGGUCAAGAAGCACCGGCUAACUACGUG
rnacentral:rRNA from 1 species